AUAACUCGUUUGUCCUGUUCUGGGUCUGGAAGCAGGAAAGUAGUUCAGCCCUUCAGUGCAGCUUCUGAGGUCCCUUCUGCUUGCCCAAAGAGCUUUUGGUGAUGAUAGAAGCAUUGCCAUAGGACGGAGGUGGUGCUGUGUCCCAUCCCACUGCAGCUGAACUACCUGGCUCUUAUUUGACCCAAGCAGCCUUUAUGAUACAGAGAUCACCCAAGACAGAGCAGUGUGUGCAUCUUAGAUGAGAGAGCCUUGUAAAUAAGCAGCCCUGCUAUCCGUCCCAUUACUGCACUAAUUGGAAGGCCUGGGUUUCUGAUGGAUCUGUUGCAGCUUUUGGAAGCGCUCAGAUCCUCGAGGCCAGCAGGAAGGACCACGAUCCCCGGGGAGCAGCUGGCUCGUGCUUCUGGAGCAUCUCCUGGCCCUGCACUUGUCCUGCUGCCCGUGUCUGCCAGGCAGCCCUCACUGCGCAGUCACUAACAGAGGGAAAAGUCUUCGUGCCGAACAGUGCUGCUGCUUUGUUGUUUGGGAUACGGAUGUUACAGAGCUGCAUUUUGUAACACAGAGAGCCUGAUCCAAACUCUCAGGGAAAGACUUGCUUGCGGUGCUUUGCCUGUUCUCUUUGGUGUCUCCACCUUCCUCGAGCCUGUCUUAAGCUCUGGUGAUGAUGAAGGGAGAGGAGAUUGAUGUGCCCCGAGUCCCAGGGUGAGAGCGUGGCACCGCAGCCUCUCUGCACGCGGCUCCGUGAGGCUUGUCAGUGCUGCUCUGCGGGCUUGCAAAUUGCUUUUCAAGGUGGCUUUCAGGCAGCACAGAGUUUUGAGAGCACCGGUGGGGAAUCGAUGGAAACGGCGUUUGUGGAGGACCUUCAUCUUGAAGCUGCCAGUUCUGCUGCGUCUGGAUUUGUGAGCUGCAAAGAUGAGCAAAAAAAAGCCCCAUGGAGCUGCGCUGCCUGCUGAGGCCUCACCCUGCAGUGCCAGGACCCCACAUUCUGCCCCUGGGGCUCUGCAGGGAACCCAUCUCUCCUUGCCCCAAGCUAUGAGGUGGCCCCCACGUGCUCUCACUGGGACAGGAGCUGUGAGGUUCUGUAGCUGCUGAGCAUGAACUUUACACGUUCCCGUUGCCCUCUGCCUGUGUGGCCUUAUUACAGAGGCGUGCUGUAGAUUUACUUCAAAUACAUGCAACAGGGUG
rnacentral:lncRNA from 7 species